UACGUAGGGUGCAAGCGUUAAUCGGAAUUACUGGGCGUAAAGCGUGCGCAGGCGGCUUUGCAAGACAGAUGUGAAAUCCCCGGGCUUAACCUGGGAACUGCAUUUGUGACUGCAUGGCUCGAGUACGGUGGAGGGGGAUGGAAUUCCGCGUGUAGCAGUGAAAUGCGUAGAUAUGCGGAGGAACACCGAUGGCGAAGGCAGUCCCCUGGACCUGUACUGACGCUCAUGCACGAAAGCGUGGGGAGCAAACAGG
rnacentral:rRNA from 1 species